UGAUUUAGGGUGAGACAAUAAAUUAAAUUUGCCUUAAAUUGAGGGGUGCAGUUGUUAAAGGGACAUUUCUGACGCUUUAUGAGCUGCGGAGUGUCUGUGAGGGGGCAAAAGGGAGGGAAAAGUGUGGGAAAUGUGAGGGGGAAAAACGAUGGGGAACAUGAGGGGGAAAGGGUAAGAAAUGUGAGGGGGAAAGUGGGGGAAGUCUGAGGGGAAAAAGGGUGGGAAAAGAGAGGAAAAAAGGCAGGAAGUGUGAGGGGGAAAAGGGCAGAAAUUGUGAGGGGUAAAGGGCGGGAAACGUGAGGGGAGAAAAGGGCGGGAACUGUGAGGGGAGAAAAGGGCGGGAAACGUGAGGGGAGAAAAGGGCGGGACCCGUGAGGGGAGGAAAGGCAGCAAAUGGAAGGCAAAAAGGACAGUAAAGCCGAGUGAAAAGGACGGGAAAUGAGAGGAAGAAAAGGUAUGAAACAGGGGAAAACGUGAGGGGGAAAAGAGCAGGAAACGUGAUGAGAAAAAAUGGCAGGAAACGUGAGGGGGGGAAAGAGUGGGAAAUGUGAAGGGAAACGUGAGGGGAAAAAGAGCAGGAAAUGUGAGGGGGAAAAAUGGCAGGAAAUGUGAGGGGAGAAAAAAUGGGAAACGCGAGGGGAAAAAGAGUGGGAAAUGUGAGAGAAAAGGACAGAAAAUGUGAGGGGAAAAUGGGAAAUAUGAGGGGGGAAAAGGGCAGGAAACGUGAGGGGAAAAAGGAGGGAAAUGUAAGUGGAAAAGUGAGAAAUGUGAGGGGGAAAAGGGAGGGAAAUGUGAGGAGACAAUGGGGGAAACGUGAGGGGAAAAUGGGGAAAAUGUGAGAAGGAAAAGGGAGGGAAACGUGAGAUCUUCUCCUCCCCCGUUCCCUCCCCUGCCCCCGCUGAAAUCCCAGACUCCCCAUUCCCAUUUCCCCCCCAGACCCCAAAUUCCCCCCAAAUCCCAAACAUCCCCCGAUCCCAAAUCUCAGAUUUUUUAACUCUCUGACUCAAAAAGUGGGAAAAAAUUCCCAUUUUAUUGAGCAAAGCAAAAAUGGAGCCAGGGAGGUCGGGGUGGGGCACCCCAAAUUGGGGGUGGCUGGGACACCCCAACCCUGGGGUGUCCAUGAGGGUCCAGGGGUGUCCAGAAGGUUCCGGUGGUAACCCCGAGGUUCUCCUGGUGCCCGCAAGGUUCUGCCGAAGGUUCCUCUGAUCUGUGAGGGGUUCUAGAGGAACCUAUGGGGUUCUAGAGGUGCCUGUGGGGUUCUAGAGGUGCGUAUGGGGUUCUAGAGGUGGUUCUAGAUGAACUGAUGGGGUUCUGGAGGUGCCUGUGGGGUUCUAGAAGUGUCUACCAGGAUCUAAGUAUGUCUAUAGGGUUCUAGAUGUGUUUAUGGGAUUCUAGAGGCAUCUAAGGUGUUCUAGAGGUGUCUACGGCGUUCUGGUGAUGCCUGCAGGACUCUCAGGCUGUUCACGCGCUUCCAGGACUUUCCCUGAGUUCCUGAAGAAUGUCCCACAGAGACUCAGUUCUCUUGGACUCGUCUCCCUGGGUGUCCCCGGGUUCCUCUCCCUCGGCUUCGUCCCCUGAUCCCCACUGUUCCUCCAGCACCGCCUUGAUUGUGGAGCUGGUGUUGUUGGACAUGGUGGCCAUCACCUUGAUGGGGCCGUGGCUCAGCUGGGCGGUCCCGUGGCUCUUGUCCAUGACAACGCGGGUGAAUUUGACGUCCUGGUAGGAGCUGGAGUAGGUUCCAUGGGCCAUGCGGUGGUAGGUGGCCUCCAAGGCACCCAGGUGGGCCUUACCUGGGGACAGCUCCAAGCCCAGCGCCAUGGAGAAUUUGUUGUAGUCGGU
rnacentral:lncRNA from 1 species